rnacentral:rRNA from 1 species
UACAGAGGCCUCGAGCGUUAGGCGGAAUCACUGGGCUUAAAGCGUGUGUAGGCGGACUUCUAAGUGCCUUGUGAAAUCCCACGGCUCACCCGUGGAACGGCUGGGCAUACUGGGAGUCUUGAGCCACCUAGGGGCUGCCGGAACAAAUGGUGGAGCGGUGAAAUGCGUAGAUAUCAGGAGGAACACCUGUGGUGUAGACAGCUUACUGGACCAUUUCUGACGCUGAGACACGAAAGCGUGGGUAGCAAACAGG